UUCUUUAAUUGGGGACUGGAAUGAAAGGUCGAUUCUAAAAGGAAAGUUUUGUUUUAUAAUUUUGAAGUUAAUUUAAUAGUAAAAAAGCUAUUAUUAACCCUUGGGACGAGAAGACCCUAGAAGCUUAAAGAGUAAAAAUUCUUUAAUUGGGGCAAUUUAUGAAGAGAAUAAUUUUUAUAAGGAAAUAGUAAAGUUAAAAGUUACUCUAGGGAUAACAGCGUAAUUUAAUUAGCGAGUUCUUAUUAAUAAUUAAGUUUGCGACCUCGAUGUUGAAUUAAUU
rnacentral:rRNA from 1 species